rnacentral:rRNA from 4 species
AGCAACAAAUGCCCUGCUUCCAGGAAAAGCCUCUAAGCAUCAGGUAACAUCAAAUCGUACCCCAAACCGACACAGGUGGUCAGGUAGAGAAUACCAAGGCGCUUGAGAGAACUCGGGUGAAGGAACUAGGCAAAAUGGUGCCGUAACUUCGGGAGAAGGCACGCUGACACGUAGGUGAAGUGAUUUACUCAUGGAGCUGAAGUCAGUCGAAGAUACCAGCUGGCUGCAACUGUUUAUUAAAAACACAGCACUGUGCAAACACGAAAGUGGACGUAUACGGUGUGACGCCUGCCCGGUGCCGGAAGGUUAAUUGAUGGGGUCAGCGCAAGCGAAGCUCCUGAUCGAAGCCCCGGUAAACGGCGGCCGUAACUAUAACGGUCCUAAGGUAGCGAAAUUCCUUGUCGGGUAAGUUCCGACCUGCACGAAUGGCGUAAUGAUGGCCAGGCUGUCUCCACCCGAGACUCAGUGAAAUUGAACUCGCUGUGAAGAUGCAGUGUACCCGCGGCAAGACGGAAAGACCCCGUGAACCUUUACUAUAGCUUGACACUGAACAUUGAGCCUUGAUGUGUAGGAUAGGUGGGAGGCUUUGAAGUGUGGACGCCAGUCUGCAUGGAGCCGACCUUGAAAUACCACCCUUUAAUGUUUGAUGUUCUAACGUGGACCCGUUACCCGGGUUGCGGACAGUGUCUGGUGGGUAGUUUGACUGGGGCGGUCUCCUCCUAAAGAGUAACGGAGGAGCACGAAGGUUGGCUAAUCCUGGUCGGACAUCAGGAGGUUAGUGCAAUGGCAUAAGCCAGCUUGACUGCGAGCGUGACGGCGCGAGCAGGUGCGAAAGCAGGUCAUAGUGAUCCGGUGGUUCUGAAUGGAAGGGCCAUCGCUCAACGGAUAAAAGGUACUCCGGGGAUAACAGGCUGAUACCGCCCAAGAGUUCAUAUCGACGGCGGUGUUUGGCACCUCGAUGUCGGCUCAUCACAUCCUGGGGCUGAAGUAGGUCCCAAGGGUAUGGCUGUUCGCCAUUUAAAGUGGUACGCGAGCUGGGUUUAGAACGUCGUGAGACAGUUCGGUCCCUAUCUGCCGUGGGCGCUGGAGAACUGAGGGGGGCUGCUCCUAGUACGAGAGGACCGGAGUGGACGCAUCACUGGUGUUCGGGUUGUCAUGCCAAUGGCACUGCCCGGUAGCUAAAUGCGGAAGAGAUAAGUGCUGAAAGCAUCUAAGCACGAAACUUGCCCCGAGAUGAGUUCUCCCUGAGACUUAAAGUCUCCUGAAGGAACGUUGAAGACGACGACGUUGAUAGGCCGGGUGUGUAAGCGCAGCGAUGCGUUGAGCUAACCGGUACUAAUGAACCGUGAGGCUUAACCUUACAACGCCGAAG